rnacentral:lncRNA from 1 species
GGUGCUUGAGCUGGUGGACGUGCUCCAUGCACCAAAUCAAUCCGAUGAUCAAUUCUCCUCUUUGGCGGCAAUUGCUUGGGUAAUUCGGGGGGGCAUCACAUCCCUAAACUCAGUGAGAACACCCUUGAUGGGUGCUGGAAUCUCCUCUCCUUCCAAUAGAUCUUCCUCCUAAAGGGAUGCAAUAUAUGUUGGAAGUCCCCUUCUCAGCCCCUUGAUGAUGAAUCUCCUGUAGUAAUUUGCCAAUCCAAGAAAAGAGUGCAAGUGUGU